UCCGGUAAUCAUAGGCGAAGGGAAACACUCGUUCCCAUUUCGAAUACGACCGUUAAGCCUUCAGCCGUCGAUGGUAGUGCUGCCACGCUGUGGUGCGAGAGUAGAUUGUUGCCGGAA
rnacentral:rRNA from 1 species